rnacentral:rRNA from 1 species
UGGGGAAUAUUGCACAAUGGGGGAAACCCUGAUGCAGCGACGCCGCGUGAGCGAAGAAGUAUUUCGGUAUGUAAAGCUCUAUCAGCAGGGAAGAAGAAUGACGGUACCUGACUAAGAAGCACCGGCUAAAUACGUGCCAGCAGCCGCGGUAAUACGUAUGGUGCAAGCGUUAUCCGGAUUUACUGGGUGUAAAGGGAGCGCAGGCGGUGCGGCAAGUCUGAUGUGAAAGCCCGGGGCUCAACCCCGGUACUGCAUUGGAAACUGUCGUACUAGAGUGUCGGAGGGGUAAGUGGAAUUCCUAGUGUAGCGGUGAAAUGCGUAGAUAUUAGGAGGAACACCAGUGGCGAAGGCGGCUUACUGGACGAUAACUGACGCUGAGGCUCGAAAGCGUGGGGAGCAAACAGG